UACGUAGGGUGCGAGCGUUAAUCGGAAUUACUGGGCGUAAAGCGUGCGCAGGCGGUUUUUUAAGUCUGGUGUAUAAACCUUGGGCUCAACUUAAGGAGGCACUGGAAACUGGGAGGCUUGAGUGUAGGAGAGGAAAGUGGAAUUCCACGUGUAGCGGUGAAAUGCGUAGAGAUGUGGAGGAACACCAGUGGCGAAGGCGACUUCCUGGCCCGAUACUGACACUGAGGCGCGAAAGCGUGGGGAGCAAACAGG
rnacentral:rRNA from 1 species